rnacentral:rRNA from 1 species
AGUGAACGCUAGCGGCAGGCUUAAUACAUGCAAGUCGAACGAUUAAAGCUCUCUUCGGAGAGUGCAUAGAGUGGCGCACGGGUGAGUAACACGUAAGUAAUCUACCUUCGAGUGGGGAAUAACGUCCGGAAACGGACGCUAAUACCGCAUAAUGCAGCGGCAUCGCAAGAUGACAGUUGUUAAAGGAGCAAUUCGCUUGAAGAGGAGCUUGCGGCAGAUUAGCUAGUUGGUAAGGUAAUGGCUUACCAAGGCUACGAUCUGUAACCGGUCUAAGAGGACGGUCGGUCACACUGACACUGAAUAACGGGUCAGACUCCUACGGGAGGCAGCAGUCGGGAAUUUUGGGCAAUGGGCGAAAGCCUGACCCAGCAACGCCGCGUGAAGGAUGAAGUAUUUCGGUAUGUAAACUUCGAAAGAAUGGGAAGAAUCAAUGACGGUACCAUUUAUAAGGUCCGGCUAACUACGUGCCAG